GGUGGCACAGCGGUUAAGCGUUCGGCUGCUAACUGAAAGGCUGGUGGUUCGAACCCACCAACCA
rnacentral:tRNA from 1 species